GCAUUGGUGGUUCAGUGGUAGAAUUCUUCCCUUCCAUGUGGAAGACCCAGGUUCGAUGUCUGGCCAGUGCA
rnacentral:tRNA from 1 species